rnacentral:rRNA from 1 species
GUCUGUGGCUAUACCACCGUGAACGAGCCUGAUCUUGUCUGAUCUCGGAAGCUAAGCAGGGUCGGGCUGGUUAGUACUUGGAUGGGAGACCGCCUGGGUAUACUGGGUGCUGUAGGCU